UGGGGAGUAUUGCGCAAUGGGGGAAACCCUGACGCAGCGACGCCGCGUGUGGGAUGAAGGUCUUCGGAUUGUAAACCACUGUCGCGAGGGACGAAGCUCUGACGGUACCUCGAAAGGAAGCACCGGCUAACUCUGCGCCAGCAGCCGCGGUAAUACAGAGGGCGCGAGCGUUGUCCGGAAUCACUGGGCGUAAAGGGCGCGUAGGCGGCCCGGUAAGUAGGGGGUGAAAUCUCAUGGCUCAACUGUGAGGCUGCCUUCUAGACUGCCAGGCUUGAGCACAGUAGAGGCGAGUGGAAUUCCCGGUGUAGCGGUGGAAUGCGUAGAGAUCGGGAAGAACAUCGGUGGCGAAGGCGGCUCGCUGGGCUGUUGCUGACGCUGAGGCGCGAAAGCGUGGGGAGCAAACAGGAUUAGAUACCCCAGUAGUCCCUGAGCGGGCUGGCAAGGCGCAU
rnacentral:rRNA from 1 species